UCUUUGCAGCCUUGUGAAGUUGCUCCUCGCAGGAAUUGUUGCUUGUGGGCACAACAAGGCUGCAGAAAGCAUUUCAAAGAAUGAAAAGGCGUGACUCCUGGAGGUUCAGGAGUUUCACGUGCGAUGUUCCUUGGACAGAUGAGACCUGCUUUCCACGGUGGUGAUGGCCUUGCUCCGUAGCCAUUGCUUUUCUUGAGGCAGGUAGAGUAAACCUGACGGCACAAUAUUGUUUGGAACAACAGAAGCUCUUUGUGUCAAGCACUGUCAGCUGUCACAAUA